GAGGGUACAGUUCAGUGGUCGAGUGCAUGCCUAGCAUGCACGAGGUCCUGGGUUCAAUCCCCAGUACUUGCG
rnacentral:tRNA from 1 species